rnacentral:rRNA from 1 species
UACGUAGGGGGCAAGCGUUGUCCGGAUUCAUUGGGCGUAAAGCGCGUGUAGGCAGCCAGGUAGGUCCGGUGUGAAAACUCGAGGCUCAACCUCGAGAGGUCAUCGGAAACCAUCUGGCUAGAGUCCGGAAGAGGAGAGUGGAAUUCCCGGUGUAGCGGUGAAAUGCGCAGAUAUCGGGAAGAACACCUAUGGCGAAGGCAGCUCUCUGGGACGGUACUGACGCUGAGACGCGAAAGCGUGGGGAGCGAACAGG